rnacentral:rRNA from 1 species
GGAUUAGCGGCGAACGGGUGAGGAACACGUGAGGAAUCUGCCUUCAACACUGGGAUAACUCCGGGAAACCGGGGCUAAUACCGGAUACGAGACCUGCAGGCAUCUGCGGGUCUGGAAAGUUUUUCGGUUGAAGAUGACCUCGCGGCCUAUCAGCUUGUUGGUGAGGUAAUGGCUCACCAAGGCGACGACGGGUAGCCGGCCUGAGAGGGCGACCGGCCACACUGGGACUGAGACACGGCCCAGACUCCUACGGGAGGCAGCAGUGGGGAAUAUUGGGCAAUGGAGGAAACUCUGACCCAGCGACGCCGCGUGCGGGAUGAAGGCCUUCGGGUUGUAAACCGCUUUCAGCAAGGAAGAAGCGAAAGUGACGGUACUUGCAGAAGAAGCACCGGCUAACUAUGUGCCAGCAGCCGCGGUAAUACAUAGGGUGCAAGCGUUGUCCGGAAUUAUUGGGCGUAAAGAGCUCGU